ACCUGGUUGAUCCUGCCAGUAGCAUAUGCUUGUCUCAAAGAUUAAGCCAUGCAUGUCUCAGUACUUGCCGCUCCGACGGCGAAACCGCAAAUGGCUCAUUAAAUCAGUCACGGUUCAUUGGAUCGUGACGCGUUACUUGGAUAACUGUGGCAAUUCUAGAGCUAAUACAUGCAGCCGAGCUCCGACCCUCCGGGGGACGAGCGCUUUUAUUAGAUUGUGACCGGCCCCUCCUCUCGGGUGGGGAUCGGAAACGUGAACCGAAGCUGAGUAACUUUGGCAGAUCGCACGGGCCCGUCCGGCGACGCAUCUUUCAAGUGUCUGCCCUAUCAACUGUCGACGGUAGGUCAUGCGCCUACCGUGGUCGCCACGGGUGACGGGGAAUCAGGGUUCGAUUCCGGAGAGGGAGCCUGAGAGACGGCUACCACAUCUAAGGAAGGCAGCAGGCACGCAAAUUACCCACUCCCGGCUCGGGGAGGUAGUGACGAAAAAUAACGAUACGGGACUCAUCGAGACCCGUGAUCGAAUGAGUACGCUCUAAACCCCCUAACGAGGACCUACCGGAGGGCAAGACUAAUGCCAGCCGCUGCGGUAAUUUUAGCUCCGGUAGCGUAUACUAAAAUUGUUGCAGUUAAAAAGGCUCGUAGUCGGACCUCUGCUCCGGACGCGGGGGCCGCUCGCGCGGUCUCCCGCGCGCUUCCGGGCAUUCUGCCCGCCACCUCGCGGGUGAUUUUAAAAGGUCGUCCCGGGUGGAAGGCGGUGAUCGCUUUGCAAAAAUUAGAGUGCUCAGAGCAGGCCCUGCCGCCUGGAUAGUAAUGCACGGAACGAUGGAAGACGCCCUCGGUCCCGGGUUUCCGUGGGAACAGGUCGACGGAGACCGAGGAAUGAUCGAUAGGAGCAGACGGGGGCAUCCGUAUUCCGACGCUAGAGGUGAAAUUCUUGGACCGUCGGAAGACGACCACUGCGAA